rnacentral:rRNA from 1 species
GUGCUAUACUGCAGUCGAGCGGACUUUAAAGCUUGCUUUUAAAGUUAGCGGCGGACGGGUGAGUAACACGUGGGCAACCUGCCUGUAAGACUGGGAUAACUUCGGGAAACCGGAGCUAAUACCGGAUAAUCCUUUUCCUCUCAUGAGGAAAAGCUGAAAGACGGCAUCUCGCUGUCACUUACAGAUGGGCCCGCGGCGCAUUAGCUAGUUGGUGAGGUAACGGCUCACCAAGGCAACGAUGCGUAGCCGACCUGAGAGGGUGAUCGGCCACACUGGGACUGAGACACGGCCCAGACUCCUACGGGAGGCAGCAGUAGGGAAUCUUCCGCAAUGGACGAAAGUCUGACGGAGCAACGCCGCGUGAGUGAUGAAGGUUUUCGGAUCGUAAAGCUCUGUUGUUAGGGAAGAACAAGUACAAGAGUAACUGCUUGUACCUUGACGGUACCUAACCAGAAAGCCACGGCUAACUACGUGCCAGCAGCCGCGGUAAUACGUAGGUGGCAAGCGUUGUCCGGAAUUAUUGGGCGUAAAGCGCGCGCAGGCGGUCCUUUAAGUCUGAUGUGAAAGCCCACGGCUCAACCGUGGAGGGUCAUUGGAAACUGGGGGACUUGAGUGCAGAAGAGAAGAGUGGAAUUCCACGUGUAGCGGUGAAAUGCGUAGAGAUGUGGAGGAACACCAGUGGCGAAGGCGACUCUUUGGUCUGUAACUGACGCUGAGGCGCGAAAGCGUGGGGAGCAAACAGGAUUAGAUACCCUGGUAGUCCACGCCGUAAACGAUGAGUUGUAAGUGUUAGAGGGUUUUCGCCCUUUAGUGGUGCAGCAAACGCAUUAAGCACUUCGCCUGGGGAGUACGGCCGCAAGGGUGAAACUCAAAGGAAAUGACGGGGGCCCGCCCAAACGGUGGAGCAAGUGGUUUAAUUUGAAACAACGGGAAGAACCUUUCCCGGUUUUGACAUUCUUUGACCCUUCUAGAGAUAGGACGUUUCCCUUUGGGGGACAGAGUGACAGGUGGGGCAAGGUUGUUGUCAAGUUGUGUUGUGAGAAGUUGGGUUAAGUUCCGCAACGAGCGCAACCCUUGAUUUUAGUUGCCAGCCUUAAGUUGGGCCCUUUAAGGGGGCUGCCGGGGGCAAACCGGAGGAAGGGGGGGAAGGCGUCAAAUCAUCAUGCCCCUUAUGACCUGGGGUUCCCCCGUGGUUCAAUGGAUGGUUCAAAGGGCAGCAAAACCGCGAGGUUGAGCAAAUUCCAUAAAACCCUUUUCAGUUUGGAUUGUAGGGUGCAACUUGCCUACAAGAAAGUGGAAUUGGUAGUAAUUGCGGAUCAACAAGCCGCGGGGAAUUCGUUUCCGGGCCUUGUACCCCCCCCCCGUCCCCCCCCGAGAGUUUGGAACCCCCGAAGUUGGUGGGGUAACCUUUUGGAGCCAGCCGCCUAAGGUAUAAUGU